UUUCUCAGCCAGUCUUGCCAUUAGUGAAACCAACCAGAGCAGCCAAACAAAUAUUUCAGAGAGAGGGCAGGAUUUUAUUAUCAGCUAAUGAGACUAAUUCCUUGAUUCAUCUGUUUGCUUUUACCAAGGGCAUCUGACCAAUAACACUUCCAGAAAAACUAAUAUGUUGUCUUCCUUUUAGUAAAUAAGCCGAGGGACUAAGAAUUCAGCAGAAGAGUUGCCUACAUAGAUCUUUUCAAUACUCCUCCACUGACAAGAACAAGAACAAAAACAAGAACAACAAAAAUAACAACAACCAGCCCACACUUUUAAUCCCAGCAAAGCAGAGGCAGACAGAUCUCUGUGAGUUAUUAAACCAGCAUUGUCUACAUGGAGAAGUCUAGUCCAGACAGGGCUAGUGAAGCUGUAUGUCAAAAAUUAAUCAACUAAAACCCAGUAGCUCAGCUCCUUACUGACCGAAGGGUGCUUCACACAUUUAUUUCUUCAGCUCCAUCCUACUCUGGGCUGUGUUUUUGCACUGGAAGCAUUUCCAUUGGUUUGCGCAUCACCUCGACGGCUGGGGAUGCUCUCGCACUGUUACUGUAAAUUUUACAUGAGUUUUAUAAAGUAGAGCUUGUCCUUGGCUGCAGGCACUCCUCUUCUUAAACCCCGGAUUUGAGCUUAUGUCACUUGAGUGUUUUGUAUGCACCACUAAACUUUGGUUAGCCCGACUGGUCUUUCCACCUCUCUAGACAAGGGGGCAAUCCUGGUGUUCUGCCAGGUUUCCUGAAGUCCUUUUGUACUCUCAUUCAGCGUCUUUGGGAUUUACUUCUUCUGACUUCCUCAUGAGCUACUUUCUGAGAACUGUCCUUGGCCAACUGGAGCAGCUUGCCCACAAAUAAGCAGCACUGGGUGCAUGUGGAAGUUCAUCUCCCAGGGAAAGCUCAUGAACCAUGGCCAACCCAAAUAGGAACACCAACUGCCUUCUGGGCAGCUGGUCCCAUUCCAGUCUCAAGGCAUCCUAUCUGGGCCAGGCUGAGAUAGACCAUGGUGGCAGUCUAGAUCCUUGUUCCCACUUCCAUGAGUGUUUUCUGUAGGAAUACUUCCUUAUUGAUGAUCAGAUACUUAGCCUCACUCCAAAAUUAUUACGUAAUUCAAAUGACUUCAUUCUGACUCGUAGUUAUUAAAUCAGGAAGGCCGAUGACAAUUAUUGACCUUCCUGCUUUAAUGGUGUCCUGGGACUCAGAAGCCCAGGAAUAGCACAGCUAUGAGAGAAAUUCUCCUCAGCAGAGGUAUUGCAGCUUCCAAGGGCGAGUCUCCCUAGCUGAGCUGAAGAUCUCAGGAGCCUCAGUGCCACUCCUUCUCGUCACUGCUUCCCUGCUUCUCUUCAUUGCUUCUUAGCUCCUUCUGAUGAGAGAGAGUCACAUCAGGCAUUAAAUCUCAUAUAAGAAAUUUAUUGGAGGAAGAACGUUGUGGAGGGACAGAUCCAGGGAGCAUCCAGGAUGGAUCCUCCUUUCCCUAGAAGGAGCACACAGCAGGGAACCGAGGAGACACAGUCAUUAUAUAGGGUUUCUUAUGGGAGGAGUGGAGAGCUUUCUAGGUUGGUGGGUUUUCCUCUUCCGGGAUUGGUGGGUUUUCCUCUUCUGGGAUUGGUGGGUUUUCCUCUUCCGGGAUUGGUGGGUUUUCCUCUUCCGGGAUUGGUGGGUUUUCCUCUUCCGGGAUUGGUGGGUUUUCCUCUUCCGGGAUUGGUGGGUUUUCCUCUUCCGGGAUUGGUGGGUUUUCCUCUUCAUGGAUUGGUGGGUUUAUGUGGAAAGUUCAGGGAUUGGUGGGAUUUUAUAUUCAAGGGUUGGUGGCUUUUGUUCAGUCUUCUCACCUAAAUUAGCGUAAUCUGGGAGUGUCCUGUUGAGGCUAUUGGUGAUAACCUUUGUGACAGUCACAGAGGCUGGAAAAGCUCUUCGGUCUGUUACAGAAGUCUGUGGGGAGAGCCUGGCUGAAGGAGCUCCUUAGGCAGGGGCCUGGCCACUUUCAUGUCUUGAAGGCUGGCAGAGAAAUGGAGGGGAGUUUCCCAUUGGCUGAAGCUACUGCUCUGUUGUGACCUGUGGGCAUGCCUCUGAGGAACUGUCAUGAUUCUCCGACUUCACUGUCACCAGAGCCAUUUCUUCUGCAGGUGAUCCUGGACAAUAUAAGGGAACUAUAUAAAUAAGAGUCAGACCCUAAGCCUGCAAGCACCAGUCCUCAUGGUUUUUGCAUUCAGUUUUUGCCUAUGGUCUGCCUUGAGGUCCUGCCCGGAUGCCAUCAGCGAUAACCCCGGAAGUAUAGGGUGAAAUAAACCCUUUCCUACCCAAGUUGUUUUCAUUAGAGAACCUUAUCACACAACAGAGUACUACUGGAACAGAUGGACAGUGUAUGUGUUUGAGAGAGAAUGUCCCCAUCUGGUAGCAGUGCUUGGGGGAGGUUUAGGAGGUGAGGUUCUCGCUGGAGGACGUGUGUCACUGGGGGUAGCGCUCGGAAAAUUCCCUCACCACUUCCAGCCUUCUGUCUCUGCUUUGUUCUUGCAAUUCAGCUAUGAGCUCUCAGCCUCCUGCUCCUGCCACCAUGCCUAUAGGGUGACUCAAAUUUUGCAUUUUAUCUUCUGAGUUCCACUAAGGUUUCCAUUAUUAAGAACGUUUCCAUUUCAUCUAUCUUGUCAUUAACAUGAGAGUCUUAUUCAUAUAUUCCACCUAUGUAGGUGGGAGUCUUGGGCUCCUUAUGGAAAGCCUUUACCUGUGCUGUACAUUU
rnacentral:sRNA from 1 species